AUUGAACGCUGGCGGCAUGCCUUACACAUGCAAGUCGAACGGCAGCGCGGACUUCGGUCUGGCGGCGAGUGGCGAACGGGUGAGUAAUACAUCGGAACGUACCCUGUUGUGGGGGAUAACUAGUCGAAAGAUUAGCUAAUACCGCAUACGACCUGAGGGUGAAAGUGGGGGACCGCAAGGCCUCACGCAGCAGGAGCGGCCGAUGUCUGAUUAGCUAGUUGGCGGGGAAAAGGCCCACCAAGGCGACGAUCAGUAGCGGGUCUGAGAGGACGAUCAGCCACACUGGGACUGAGACACGGCCCAGACUCCUACGGGAGGCAGCAGUGGGGAAUUUUGGACAAUGGGGGCAACCCUGAUCCAGCAAUGCCGCGUGUGUGAAGAAGGCCUUCGGGUUGUAAAGCACUUUUGUCCGGAAAGAAAUCGCGCUGGUUAAUACCUGGCGUGGAUGACGGUACCGGAAGAAUAAGCACCGGCUAACUACGUGCCAGCAGCCGCCGUAA
rnacentral:rRNA from 1 species